UAACGCGUUAAGUAGACCGCCUGGGGAGUACGGUCGCAAGAUUAAAACUCAAAUGAAUUGACGGGGGCCCGCACAAGCGGUGGAGCAUGUGGUUUAAUUCGAUGCAACGCGAAGAACCUUACCUACUCUUGACAUCCAGAGAAUCUGGCGGAGACGCUGGAGUGCCUUCGGGAGCGCUGAGACAGGUGCUGCAUGGCUGUCGUCAGCUCGUGUUGUGAAA
rnacentral:rRNA from 1 species